AUCCCACUGCCACCAUGCUGGCCUCAGGGCUGCUCCUGGUGGCCUUGCUGGCCUGCCUGACUGUGAUGGUCUUGAUGUCUGUCUGGCAGCAGAGGAAGAGCAGGGGGAAGCUGCCUCCGGGACCCACCCCAUUGCCCUUCAUUGGAAACUACUUGCAGCUGAACACAGAGCAGAUGUACAACUCCCUCAUGAAGGCGUGGUGUUCAGCAAUGGGGAGCGCGCCAAGCAGCUCCGGCGCUUCUCCAUCGCCACCCUGCGGGACUUCGGGGUGGGCAAGCGAGGCAUCGAGGAGCGCAUCCAGGAGGAGGCGGGCUUCCUCAUCGAGGCCCUCCGGGGCACUCGCGGCGCCAAUAUCGAUCCCACCUUCUUCCUGAGCCGCACCGUCUCCAAUGUCAUCAGUUCCAUUGUCUUUGGGGACCGCUUUGACUAUGAGGACAAAGAGUUCCUGUCACUGUUGCGCAUGAUGCUGGGAAUCUUCCAGUUCACGUCAGCCUCCACGGGGCAGCUCUAUGAGAUGUUCUCUUCGGUGAUGAAACACCUGCCAGGACCACAGCAAGAGGUCUUUAAGUUGCUGCAAGGGCUGGAGGACUUCAUAGCCAAGAAGGUGGAGCACAACCAGCACACGCUGGAUCCCAAUUCCCCACGGGACUUCAUCGACUCCUUUCUCAUCCGCAUGCAGGAGGAGGAGAAGAACCCCAACACGGAAUUCUACUUGAAGAACCUGAUGAUGACCACGUUGAACCUCUUCAUUGGGGGCACCGAGACUGUCAGCACCACCCUACGCUAUGGCUUCUUGCUGCUCAUGAAGCACCCAGAGGUGGAGGCCAAGGUCCAUGAGGAGAUUGACAGAGUGAUCGGCAAGAACCGGCAGCCCAAGUUUGAGGACCGGGCCAAGAUGCCCUACAUGGAGGCAGUGGUCCAUGAGAUCCAAAGAUUUGGAGACGUGAUCCCCAUGAGUUUGGCCCGCAGGGUCAAAAAGGACACCAAGUUUCGGGAUUUCUUCCUCCCUAAGGUGCUAUCCUCCCCACCCACCAGACUACGGGGACUUCCAGCCCCUCUCUAUGUCCCCAGAAUCCUGCCCCCAUCAGAAGCUUUCUAGACACUGUCCCACUCCCUCAAUCAGUCAAAAAAGACUUCCCCAACCACCACAUCUGUUCCACCUUUCCAUUUAGACACUCCUGAGUCCUGCAUCUCCCCAGACUCUUUGUGUCAGGAGAAUCAGACCCAUGUUCCCAAACUUCCUAUCUUAAGAAACAGGAGCCCCCUUUCCAUUAGACCUUUUGUCUUAGAGACACAAAUAUCAGGUCCCCCAAACACCCUGCCUAGAAGGACAUGGAUCCCAUGUUUCCCAAACUUCCUGUUUCAGAGACAUGAAUCUUCUAUC
rnacentral:sRNA from 1 species